rnacentral:rRNA from 1 species
UACGUAGGGUGCGAGCGUUGUCCGGAAUUACUGGGCGUAAAGCGCGCGUAGGCGGUUUUGUAAGUCGGGUGUGAAAACUCCAAGCUCAACUUGGAGCCUGCAUCCGAAACUGCGAUGACUUGAGUCUGGUAGGGGAACACGGAAUACCUGGUGUAGCGGUGAAAUGCUUAGAUAUCAGGUGGAACACCAGUGGCGAAGGCGGUGUUCUGGGCCAGUACUGACGCUGAUGCGCGAAAGCGUGGGGAGCAAACAGG